GACGAACGCUGGCGGCGUGCUUAACACAUGCAAGUCGAACGGAGUGGCGAACGGGUGAGUAACACGUUGGUGAUCUGCCUUGCACUUCGGGAUAAGCUUGGGAAACUGGGUCUAAUACCGGAUAGUGCAAGAUGAGCUCGCGGCCUAUCAGCUUGUUGGUGGGGUAAUGGCCUGCCAAGGCGUCGACGGGUAGUCGGCCUGAGAGGGAGUACGGCCGCGUUGGGACUGAGAUGCGGCCCGGACGCCUACGGGGGGCAGAAGUGGGGAAUAUUGCACGAUGGGCGGAGGCAUGAUGCAGCGGCGCCGAGUGGGGGAUGGAGGUAUUCGGGUUGUAAACUCCAUUCAGCAGGGACGCGGUACCUGUAUAAGAAGCACCGGCUAACUACGUGCCAGCAGCCGCGGUAAUAC
rnacentral:rRNA from 1 species